rnacentral:rRNA from 1 species
GAUGAACGCUAGCGGCAGGCUUAAUACAUGCAAGUCGAGGGGUAGCAAGAUUGUAGCAAUACAAUUGUUGACGACCGGCAAACGGGUGCGGAACACGUACACAACCUUCCUACAAGUGGGGAAUAGCCCAGAGAAAUUUGGAUUAAUACCCCGUAACAUAGCGAUGUGGCAUCACAUUGCUAUUAUAGCUUCGGCGCUUGUUGAUGGGUGUGCGGCUGAUUAGAUAGUUGGCGGGGUAACGGCCCACCAAGUCUACGAUCAGUAGCUGAUGUGAGAGCAUGAUCAGCCACACGGGCACUGAGACACGGGCCCGACUCCUACGGGAGGCAGCAGUGGGGAAUUUUGGACAAUGGGGGCAACCCUGAUCCAGCCAUGCCGCGUGAGUGAAGAAGGCCUUCGGGUUGUAAAGCUCUUUCGGCCGGGAAGAAAUCGCACAGGCUAAUACUCUGUGUGGAUGACGGUACCGGCAUAAGAAGCACCGGCUAACUACGUGCCAGCAGCCGCAGUAAAAC